AGGAAAACAUCAUCUAAAAAAGGUUUUUUUUCUAGAUUGUGCGAUUAUUGAAAUAAGACACUUGAGUUGCCUGGGUCUUUAUUCGACGUUACUUAACAAGAUGGAAAUGUGGGUCCAAAGCAGGAUUUCAAAUGUACUCUCCAGGAGAACUGGCGAUGUGCAGUCUUUUGCAGGGGAGAAUUGCUGUUAGUAGUCUCUAACAACUCUAAUUAUCUCACUAUAUUAAAGAUCACGGUCUUACUUGGAAGCUUUGCUAAUGCUGCCUCGGUGGUGGAGGGUGCAGAUGCUUUUCUGCUGAAACUUUUUGCUGCAUUUUCUGAUGGAGACUGAUGUGAGAGUACGGAGGAACAUCUGGAAAACUUCUGAAAUGCCCGCUUCGCUGCCGCUGCUACUGUGUGGUAACUGGAAUCUCUGGAGCAGAAGGCCCCGAAUCCUCGGCUUUGCUUGUUUCAGCGGCCGGGGCUAGGUCGAAGGCGCUCGGGAGGCUGUAUCGGAGGGGCUGGUCGGAGGCUCAAAGUUUUCAGACGGACAGACUCAGUGUCGGCUGUGGUCGGCUGCUUCCAAGGCAUCGGCAAGUUGACAGUGCCUGGAGUUUUAUGGCAGGGAGUUUCUCCCUUUUGCCGCCUGCUAUCGGGGACUUGGGAGUCAAUCGACUCGGGGACUUUGAGACUUUUUUUUUUACCAUGCCCAUGAUUUGCUCUUCAUCAAAUUAUGGUAUUGCUUUGCACUGCUGUAACUAUACGUUAUAAUUAUGUGGUUCUGUCAGUGUUGGUCUUUGGUUUGUCCUGUUUUCUGUGAUAUCACUCUGGAGAAACACUGUAUCAUUUCUUAAUGCAUGUAUGCAUUUCUAGAUGAACACUGAGUGUUCUCAUGAUCUAAACCACCACAGAAGAUGCCACUGUAUAUUAAGUUGCUCUUCUCCAUUAUAAAUAAAGAUUCUGUUCUUCUGAUUCAAACGUAGAACCCCACACUUUGAACCAUUUGCAUAAUCCCUCCAUAUCUCUUCAGUGAAUAUUUGUAUCUUCUUCAGAGUUGGCUUUCUCAUCGAGUCUUCAACUAUCAGACAGGUUGGAUUCAUUAUUGUCUGAAUGUCAACCAUUUCAUUGUAUUCUGUUCACAUACUUUUACACAAUGGGCAAAUUAACUUGGAUAGUAGCUUAACAGCAUCUAACGAUGGUGUCAAAGUAAGAAAGAAGUAGGUCAAUCCUGGAAUUACUGCUUUAGCAGAAUGAAAUCAUAAUCAAGGAACAGAAUCUAAAAUCUAGAACUUUAGCUGGCAGAAGGUGCAAGAGGAAAGCUCUAGUUGCUAUAAUAUCAUUAAAGCUGUUACAAAAUGAAAGGAAACUAUGAGAUUACUGAAUUUGAAUAGGGAGAAUAAAAGAAUUGAAACUGAGCAUGCAACUCUCUGAAAGUAAUUUAGAAAGAUAAAUCAUUGCUUAGUGAAACUUCCCUGAUUUGCCAUUUAUCAUUUAAAGCAGGAUUGGUAUUAAAAAGUUCAUUCAUUAAAUUAAUGUAGCAACUUAUAACCAAAAUAAAUUGGGACUUAAGGCACAACAAAUGGUAACUGCAAAAUUAAUGUUAAUGGAAAUCGAUUAUUGUUGCUCUUUUUUUUGAAAAUUCAUCAUCCAUUUCAAAUGUGACUGUCAUUUAGUGAAGUGAUAACUGAUAAUCAAUAUAAUACAUCAUGAUCAAAAACAUUCCAGGUAAAAUCUAAUCUCCGGUAGUAACAGCCCACUUAACUUGUUCCUAAAUGUUAAAACAAGAUAUAUAUAACCAUUUUAAACUUGCUUUGAUUUGAAUCUGAAUACAGUAAGUAGUUUGGGUUCUUUCGGGACAAAGUACAUGCACAUUUACAUUGGUAAACAUUCUAAUCUGCUAUAAAACAUGCUCUACAAGUAUGACUCAGAAAAGAGUGUUAAUUUUGCACUUUUCAGACUGU